AACGAACGCUGGCGGCAGGCUUAACACAUGCAAGUCGAACGCGCCCUUCGGGGCGAGUGGCAGACGGGUGAGUAACGCGUGGGAACCUACCUCAUGGUACGGAAUAACUCAGGGAAACUUGAGCUAAUACCGUAUGUGUCCUUCGGGAGAAAGAUUUAUCGCCAUGGGAUGGGCCCGCGUCGGAUUAGCUAGUUGGUGGGGUAACGGCCUACCAAGGCGACGAUCCGUAGCUGGUCUGAGAGGAUGAUCAGCCACACUGGGACUGAGACACGGCCCAGACUCCUACGGGAGGCAGCAGUGGGGAAUAUUGGACAAUGGGGGCAACCCUGAUCCAGCCAUGCCGUGUGAGUGAUGAAGGCCUUAGGGUUGUAAAGCUCUUUCGCCGGUGAAGAUAAUGACGGUAACCGGAGAAGAAGCCCCGGCUAACUUCGUGCCAGCAGCCGCCGUAAGAC
rnacentral:rRNA from 1 species